CUUUAACUAUAGCAACUACUAUAUUUAACUAUAUUAGCUACCAGUGUGUAUACACAAUGACAGUAUACAUUGAUAAAUGAUUAACUGAUACAUUCAUUUAUCAGUCACCCAUCCAACAUUUAUGAUCGAUUUAUUGUGAUUAAUCAAUUAAACCCAAACCUGUUGUUUUUGACUCUAAGAGGAAACUGGACACAAGAAAUCCCACAUGGAAGAAACAUUCAGACUCCAUUCAGAGAAACCAUGAAUUACCUCCAGCUAUCAAAGUGAUUUUUGUACUGGAUGUCAGGAGCAGAUAGCAAAUUGCCCAGUCCAGAAGAUUAAAUGUUAUUCAAUGUAUUUAUUAAAUAUAAGAGACUAUGUCUGAAAAAAAAGGCUUUGGACAUUCAGAUCAUCUGCAUAUACAGUGAAUAAAAGUCUAUGAAAACAUUUUUCAGUGUAUUAUUUAAACUGCAGUUUCACUCCUUAAAAUACGAUUGGCCCAUAGAUCACACUUUUAAUAGACAUCUGUGUCCAUUCUGAAAAUAAGUGGUGAACUAUGUGUAUACUAUAACAAAUACAAUGAAAGGGUUAAAUUAUACAAAUGCACUCGUAGUUGCUGGAAGAACAGAGUGACAUUCAUUGAACUAAUGGUGACAAUGCUUUAACCAGACUCCUAAAACAUUAGACCACUGAGUCAACAUUAACAUGGACUUUCUUUACUAUAGACUUUUUGUAAAGACAACCAGACUCUAAGCUAAGCUCUGGUGGGCCACAUAAACUGAUAAGGUGAGUCUCAUUUGGCCCGCAGGGCUUACAACUCGCUGUAAUGGACAAACAGUUUUUGUUGUCAAGUAAAAAAAAUGAUAUCUCUCAUAACAAACUGGGGAUGAAAAAAUUCUGGAUUAACUGAUAAGGGGCUGCAAGGUGUAAUUUAUUAGAAAAGAAAUGCAGUAAAUAUUUGUAACAGCACAUGUCAUAUACACUAUCGCCUCCUGCUGGUUUUCUUCAUCCUUGUUAUAGUCUAUACAAUGGAUCUUCAUUUACUAUUGUUACAUUUCUUUACGUUUCUUCAGCCUUUGUUGGAGUAUGAAUAAAAAACAAGUUUUGUUCAACCCUAGAGCAGAUUGUGACAUAUUGUAGUCUCUCAAACACGCACACACACACACACACACACACACACACUGUGCUUCAUGAUGCAACCAGAUCUAAGCACAGAAAGCUGAACCUGAUCAUUCAAAUGUCCUGGGAAUCUAAUGAUGUGCCAAGAAGGCUCAAGUUCACAAGCAACAACAAAAAAAAAAUUCAAGGACGCAGGCCACCUGCUGCUGCUCGAACAAAACAGCAGCCAAACACGGCAGGUUACUGAGGCUGCUCCUCAGAAGCACUGAUCAGCAGCCAGUGCAACAUAAGCAUUGAUCCAGACAAAGCCAGUCCCUCUAACCAUCAAUUAUUAAUGGUAAAUGACAAUAAUCACAAGGUUUUUAGGGUCGACUGGUUGGUCGGCCGUCCUUUCAGAGGCAGCCAGCUGUGCUGCAGGUGAAACGACUUUCCUUUUUUUUUUUUCUUGUUUUUGUUUCACUGUUUAGUUUACUUCAAAACAAAACAAAGGGGCUCAGUACCUGUGGCCUGCAUCAGAUGGCGCUGCUAUCGAAACAAUGCUAAAUGUAGCACUCAACGUAGACUUACAAAACAACUUAGACUAUGAAGCUAACACCUACAUGUAUGUUUAGAUGUAAACAACUGACAGUUGUAUUGUAGUCACACAACAAAUAUCACAUUUACAGUGACUGGAACGAUAGCUAAUGAAUUCAGCAGUCCUACAACAGAUGGUUGGAAUAUUUCCGGAUGACAUUUUUUGAUAACAGACCUAAACUAUUAGCAGUAAUUGUACACAAUGUUUGCUAGCUGAGUUAGCUUCAUCGGGUGUCAGAGAAGACUUAAACUGUUGAAAAAAAAUAAAGAAAUGGUUGACUUGGAGUGCAAACUGUUAUGAUGAUGCAUUAUGUUUUUUCCCCCCAAUGUGAACAAUAAUUCUAUCAACCUGAAAAUACGACUUCAAUGAGAUAUGACUUCACUUCAUGAACAACAGUUAAACUGGUCGACUUCAGCAUACAUGGCUUUAUCUCUGCAUUCACGGAAACCCUGUGUAAAAACAGAAACGUUAUCCUGUCGGACAAACUGAUGACAGACGAGAUCGUAGCCUGUUGCGUGUCACACGUGUAUGUUUGUUCCUGGCAUACUGUCAGUUUUACAUAGUAAACACGAGUGAAUGGGGGGAGGAAGUUGCACCUGCCCCUUUGUUCUCUCCCCUGAUGGGGAGCUUUGUGUUUGUCCCAAAGCAUGGUGGAGUACAGUGACACAUUUCACUCCGUACACCACAAAGCUAGUGAAAUGAGACAUUAAGCAGCAGGCUUAGCUAUCAAGGAGCAUUUUAACAGAACAAUCCUGCCUACACACACACACACACACACACACAGAGAGAGAGAGAGAGAGAUACAUCUGAAAGAAAAGAAAUAAAUUGGGCGUUCUGCCAAGCCCAUUACCAUUUUUAAAAGCCUUUGCUGAUUUAAAGGACCCAAGUACUGAAAGCUGCGUCAUUUAAAGUGAAUUGAAUACAGUGUAAUGGACAGAGAAGACGUUUUGUUCAAGUUCAAACAACAUCUUCUCAGCUGCUUUAUCCAAUUUCUGAGAGCUUGGAGCUGCAGAAUGAAAGAAACAAAAAAACAUCUGAAAGAACAUCUGCAGCCUUGCAGGUCAGUCAUGCCCUGUUUGGGAAGGUUGGAAAAUUAAGAUCCAAGGAUAAACAUCAGAUCCCUGCAGAGAACAGCUACUCAUGUUUGAGUCCUCCAACCUGUACAAGUAAACAACCGCGAAGAACACUUUCAUAGCAUUUCACUUCAGAGCAGCAGAUUUCUACACCUGUGGCUUUCCUGGGCAGCAACAGCCAAUGAACAAAUAAUACAAAUGCUGAAAGUUGAACGUUUAUUUUUCAAAUACAAUCUGCUUUUAAUAUUAAUAAAAAUGACAGGAAAUCACACUUCUUUGUGUUCGGGUCUGCAGGGUCCAACCUGCAUUUCCUUUUCAUUGCGAUCACCAUCUUCUAGCUUAAGAUAGAGCAGCAUCUCCACGGGCAGCAGCGAGAGUAAACAGCUGCGCCUUUGUGUUAUGAGUGGUUACAGGUAAUCAACAAUGCAUCCACUUACCUAAGACUCUUCACAGAGGAGAUUGUUUUUCAGCUGCACUCAGUGAUUGAAAGCAUUAGUGAUGGAUGGCAAACUGCUUAGAUGCUUCACAGACGUUGACUGUGACCACCACCGCCGGGCCAUGAGUGGAAAACAUAUACAGCAGUUUAUUAUUUGCUAAUCUCUCACCUUUGUGUAAUGUGUUUUUGAAAUUGCACUCAGCCAGGAGUGUGUUGGUGGUGUUAGUUCUAACAGGAGUACCGUGGUUAGUCCAAAAAUGACAACAACAAAAAAUUUGAAAAUGAAGCACAGAAAAUAAUAAGAAAUGUUUUCACAGUGAGCGUACUAUAUGAUGACUGCUGCGAAGAAAACUAAAAGGUGUCAUUCUGGAGAUAGAAUACCAAACGUGGCCGAGGAUGGAGGCAGUGUGUGGAGAAACGACCGAAGACACACCUGAAAAAUAUUUUGGGUUUUUCCCCUUUUCCUCCACCUCACACAGUCACACCUGUUUUCCAAAGCAAAUGUUAUCAGACCAGUAACCAGCCAACCAAAUCAACCAGCUCAGCUCAGAUGCUUCCUUCUCCAGAACAACCGCUUUCUUAGUGAAUCACACACAGAGGGGCUCACAUCAAAUUACCUCUGCUGCAGCUUUAGGGGCAUCAACUCCACCAAAAUAUUUUUGGGUUUGUUCUGAGAAAAAUAAUAAUAAUAAAAUUCAAUGAAGAAAAUGAAAUCCAAAAGCUUAUCCACUGUAUCACGUUUAUCUGGUGAAGUAAUCCAGUUGAAAUCUGUUGAGAGUGGAACUGAUGGAACUGUGGUUCUGUACUGAAACAGGUCGAGAACCCAAAUUGGUUAUGAAUGUUGAUUUUAAUGCUUUGUUUUUCCUGGUUCUGUUCUUGGUUUCUGGCUUUAAACACCUUUUUGAACCUGUUUUUAUCUUCAUAAAAUAAAUGUCAUUAUUUAAAACAAAAGAAAACAGCAGACGCAGUUAAGGCGACGCUGCAGAUCAUCAGCUCUGCAUUAGUUUGUUUUUUAAGCAUGCAGAUGGUGCGGUGGGAAGAUAAUGGAAUAAAUUAGUUGCUUGCACACAUGUCCUGAUGCAUCACGGAAUAAAAGGUGUCAAACUCUCUCCCAGCAUUCAUCUGGAAGUGAUAAAUACAUUUGGUUGAUUUGCCGGUGCACUAGACAGCAUCCGGGCUACGACAACGUAUGUUAUUUUAUGUAGAUUGUACACAAAUUUAAAUGGUGAUUAUUGUAGAGCAGUCAUUCUUAACCAUGGGGUCACGGCCCAAACUUGGGCUGCCCGUGCCACCUACAGGGCCGCAAAAACCUUCAGUUUUGCACCUGUGGGCUGCAAGGGCCGCGGGACUGCAAAUGUUAUCAACUAAAGACACCAGGGAUAUGCUAUCAAUGAAAAGCUCAGUUACAAUGCAGCUUUCAACCAUUAGGUGGCAGUAAUGCAUCAGUCAGUUCUUUAAAAAGUGGAAAAGUCUUUCUGUCCAUGCUAGCUGUGGCAAAAAAUAUGGAGAAGACUACAUUUUUGUGUAGAUACAACCCGACUUCACCACUUUGUACUAUAAAAAUUGGGCCUCAACGUUGAAAAAGUUAAGAGCCCUCAUUAUAUAUAUACAUAUUUUAAUUUUCACUCAAGUUUCCUCUGUCUAUGAUUUCACUAUAACAUCUCAACACAACACGAAGGCCUGCGAAAAUGUGUGGAUAACGAUCAAAAUGUUUUUGUGUCAGAGCAGAACGUAAAGCUCGUCCAUCACGGACUUUAAGUAAACCAUCCUUUGAAGCAGUCACUUUGUCUUUCAUGUGCACUGCGUACUGCAUGCAGAGUACUAAUUAGUGUCUAAUAGAAACUGCAGGCAACAGGCAUGUGUGAAAGAACUAAUUUGAUUGUAGGCAGGCCAAUUAUGACCUAAUUACCCAGCUUUCCUUGCCUGGAUUAAAGCUCAGUGGGUGAACACUCACAUGCAUAACAAGGCCUCAGUAAAGGCAGUGAAAAACACACACCAGCCAUCUGGCAGAGUGAGGUGUAUUUGAGUUCCUGUCAGUUUUGUGUAUCUCUCUGUGGCUCACUGUCUGCAUGGGCAGCUGAGGUCUGGAGGCAUGCAAGCUGUUCGGUCUUUCACCUCUGCUCGCAGCCCCUCCCCUAGGUCAGCAGCUAUGCAUCAGAUCAAGUCAGGCCUCACGGGGUCAAGCAGCAGUGCCAGUACGGCCACAGUGAAGCAUGAAGCAGAGGAGGAUGGAAAUGAUUGGCUAGUUUAAACACACACUGUAACUACACUGUCAAUUUGUGAGAAUAUUAUUCUUAUUUACUGUUUUACUGCAGGUUUGGGUCAAACAUGUCUUCACUAUAUAUAACGGUUUGCUUCAAUAAUUCAUGAAUUAUUGAAUUAAUGAAUCCACAAUGAACAAAGAAAAAUGUUUUACUUGGACAUUAGUCAAUUCACUUAACACAUCUGUUCGAUUCAUAUUAUUAUAUAUUAAUAUUAUUUUCUGGGUUUUUUUUUUCGUUCUCUCUUUGGUUUGUCUGAGGUCACACAUGCACAUGUAAUCAUUAUUUAAUUUUAAACUUUAAAGGAAUUUCCUAAUUUUCCUAAUCCUAAUUUUCUCACAUUUUAUAUUUUAUAUUGAUACAU